rnacentral:rRNA from 1 species
GUGCCAGCAGCCGCGGUAAUACGUAGGGUGCGAGCGUUAAUCGGAAUUACUGGGCGUAAAGCGUGCGCAGGCGGUUUUGUAAGUCGGAUGUGAAAUCCCCGGGCUCAACCUGGGAACUGCGUUCGAAACUGCAAGGCUAGAGUGUGUCAGAGGGGGGUAGAAUUCCACGUGUAGCAGUGAAAUGCGUAGAGAUGUGGAGGAAUACCAAUGGCGAAGGCAGCCCC